rnacentral:rRNA from 1 species
AUAAAUAAGCGGAGGAAAAGAAACCAACAGGGAUUCCCUCAGUAGCGGCGAGCGAAAGGGGAAGAGCCCAGCGCCGAAUCCCGCACGGUUUACUCGUGCCGGGAAAUGUGGCGUAUAGGAGUGAGCGUGACGGAGUGAGACCGUGGCAGUAAGUCCCCCUGACCGGGGCAGUUCGCCCAGGGUGGGUGCUAGGCCCAUGUCUGCUUGGUUUCUGCUCCGCACGCGAAUUCCUCGGAGUCGGGUUGCUUGGGAGUGCAGCCUAAAUCGGGUGGUAAACUCCAUCUAAGGCUAAAUACGACCGUGAGACCGAUAGCAAACAA